UGAUGCCUCCGGACUGAAAUAGCUGGACAGUGCCAUGAUGUGGAAACUGUUCUUACUGAUGAUGUGGAUACUGUUCAUACUGAUGAUAUAAUGCUGAUAAUGUGGAUAUUGAUGAUGUAGAUGCCCCGGAUGAUCAACCAGGGACUAAUAGAGCUGGACAGUGCCAUGAUGUGAAUACUGUUGAUACUGAUGAUGGGGAUGCUGAUGAUGUGGAUGUUGAUAAUGUUGAUGCCUCCGUUGAUCAACCAGGGACUGAAAUAGCUGGACAGUGCCAUGAUGUGAAUACUGAUGAUACUGAUGAUGUGGAUGCUGAUGAUGUGGAUGCCUCUGUUGAUCAACCAGGGACUGAAAUAG